rnacentral:lncRNA from 1 species
GUUUUACCAAUUUGUGUCCUGCUUUUAGGCAAAUAGGAAGAGGCAGACAGCUUGCUCUUUCCCUCCCUCCCUUCCUUCCUUCCUCCCUCUCUUCCUCACUUCCCCCUCCCUUCCUCCCUCCCUUCCUCCCUUCCUUCCUUCCUCCCUUCCUUCCUCCCUUCCUUUCUCCCUUCCUCCCUUCCUCCCUCUCUCCCUCCUCCCUUCCUCCUUCCCUCCCUCUCUCCCUUCCUCCCUUCCUCCCUCUUUCUUUUCUUUCUUUCUGACAGAGUCAUGAAAGAAAGAGCCCAGGCUGGAGUGCAGUGGUAUGAUGAUAGCUCACUGUAGUCUCGACCUGCUGGGCUCAAGCGAUCCUCCCACCUCAGCCUCCCGAGUAGCUGGUACUGUAGGCACAUGCCACUAUGCCUGGCUAAUUUUUGUAUUUUUUUGUAGAGACAGGGUUUUGCCAUGUUGCUUAGGCUGGUCUUGAACUCCCGGGCUUGUGAUCCACCAAUCUUGGCCUCCCAAAGUGCCGGAAUUACAGCUGGAGCAAACCUCUCCUGGAUGCACAUCUCUGGAAGCCCCAGGUUCUGAAUGGCAGCUGGAUCUCAGGCUGAAGAGGAGGAAGAAGAGGAUGGGUUGGUCUUGAUGUCUCACGGGUGGCAGAGGCAGAAGAAAAUCCAUCUGGACAUGCACCAAGGAAAAGCCAAGUGAGCACACAGUGGGAUGGCAGCUGUCUGCAGCCUCCCUGGAAGAGGAUCCUCUGCAGCCUUCCUGGAAGAGGAUCCUCACAAGAACCCACCAUGUUGGCACCCUGACCUUGGACUUCCAGUCUCCAGAAUUAUGAGAAAAUAAACAUCUGUUGUUUAAGCCACUCAGUCUGUAGUGUUUGGUUAUGGCAUCCCAAG